ACUUAUUAAAUUUGCAUUUUGCCUCUUAAGAAGAUAGUCGUAGGUCACAGUUUUUUUGCAAUGUUCUUAAAAUUAAUGCCUACUUUAAAAGUCGUGACAUCUCUGCAAAUUCCAGAAAUUGUAGAUGAUUCAAUUAUCUUGGCUGUUGUAUGAACAUGUUCUGUUUCAUGUAUAUCAGUACCUCACUACCUUGCCUCCUAAAGCUUCCGACUUUUCAAAAUAGCCCUACCUGCUUAGCAAUCUGCCCUAAAAUAAGACGAGAGAGUAUCCAGUAAACUGGUUUGUUUAUUGUCCUAUUUACUUGAAGAGCAUGUGAGGCAAGACUUGACAUGAUAGUAAACCUGUUUCAGGAAUCAAGAUAGUGAAUCAGAGAUAAAACUAGAUAAUUUUUUAAGUCUGAUGUUUGUUUAAUGAGAUAGUAAUCCAAAUAAAAGCUAACAUGGUGUUUGGUAUCCAAGUUUAUAUUGCAGAUUAAAUGUAAAGUGCAAUUUGCCCUUAAUGAAAGGGUGGAAAAGGGUUCAUCAUUUUGAUGAUACUUGAGAUCUUAAUAUGUGAUUAAUUUGCCUAUCUUAAUUAACAAAUGAUAAUGUGUAAUUCAUCAACAUAUUAUGCUUAAUUAGAUAUCUUGUUAAUUAAUUUGGCUAACUGAAUGAUGAUUACUUAAAUAAGAUCCAUUAAUUCUCGUUCAAUUAGUAAAAGAACAAAAGUAACGUCUUCAUCCAUGACAAAUUAUUCAUACCCAAGAUUGGGUAGUCCUCGACGACGGUAGAGAGAAAGUAGGGAUGAUGGAACCGGUGAGAUCGAAACUCAACGAUCUAAACCCAGUCGAACAAUCAAAGCCUGCCAAAAGUGAAACAAGAUCCGAAGCUUCUUGAAAUGACACCGGUUGAAACGGAGAUGAAGAAGAAGACGAAAAUUGAAACGGGGAUGAAGAAGAUGAAAAUCAAGCAAGAACGAAGCUUGCUAUAAACUAAAUCUGUUGAGUACAAACCCAUCCCACAUCGGCCAGAUAGUGCAAAGAAGAUGUGAUAAAUUUGGUAGAAAUCUUGGCUCAGAUCUUUGAAUUUGAGCGUGAACAAUCGAAGCCACCGAGAACAACCUGCCAAUCAAAACUGACACCAAGGUGAAGAACAUAGAAAAUUUCUAAGAAAAUGGGUUCAAAUCUUGAACCAUUGGGCAACGAACAAGAACCGAAGCCUAUGUCAUCACAAAACCAAUCAACACGACGAAGAGGAAGAAUCAAGAAUUUGGAAAACAUUUAGCUCAAAUCGUCACCACAACAACCAUCAGUGUUGUUAGAGGCGUGGGGCUCAAGGGGUGAUUAUGUCAAAAGUCGGGACUCGCGCCCCAGGUCUCGAGGCGCAUUAACAUGUUAGAGUUCUUUUCUUGUCAUAUACAAAAGGAGUUUGAGUAGACAAAGAAGGAAGAAUUAAUUGAGAAGAGAAGAAUUGACUAAGGAAUAAUUAAUUUCCUGGGAAGAGAAGAGCUUAAAUGUUAUGGCGUGUUUGGUUAUACAUUAAUGGCUAGAAAUUGCCUCAAAUCGGGCCAUUAUUGGCUGUUCGGUGUGUGUGCUUCAUUUAUGGAGGGCCCUUGAACAUGACAGUGGCCCGCACUAUUCCUGAAUAAAUGCUAAGAACUGAAUUUUGCCCAAAGAGGUAAUUUAGCAUUUCUGCAUUGAAAGAUGCAUCUAGCAUUGGAGGCAAAAUCUCCUUUAUGUCCUCUCAUCUCUCUCCACUGACAAGUGACAACCGAUGAACUAGAGCUUGUGAAAAGUGGCUUCAAUGGCAGGUGCAGACCACAAAUCCCUUGUCCAAGCACUAGCAACAUUUAUGGAAUGGUAGAGAUAGUGUGAGAGAGAGAGGUAGAGAGAGCGAGAAGGCGCACGUGUAGUUUGUGAAAUUGUUUAUGAUGGUCCAACACCAUUACUCCAUCUCAGCAAGCUAAUACAAACACACGAAUCACCUCACUUCUCAUUUCUCUGAUUCUUAUUUUUCGUUAUCACACAUUUCAUACAAAAUUUGCUAAAGUAUAGUCUUAUCACUUUCUGCGGCCUUUUUGAGCGCCAACAAUGAUAGUGGUGGCGGUCGCAGUCGCAGUUGCUAUUGCAGCAGCCACUCUGUCGACGGUGCGUGGUGGCGCCGGAAUUGAAGGAGUGCAUCUGAUGAAACAAUCAUGGAGGCUGAACAACUAGUAUUAGCACCAAAUCAGUUGACCACACUGCCAUCAUUUCUGUCAAGUUUUAUUUCUUUUCAAUCCCACCGUCGAAGGCGAACACGCCCUUAUUAUUUUGGAGAAAUGAAAAAGUUAUUACUCCCUUCGUUCACCAUUAAGAGUUCUAUUUCUUUUUGGCAUGGGUUUUCUGAAAUGUACAAAAAAGUGGGUGGAAGAAAGAUAUUGUAAUAUAGUUUUAAAUGAAACGUGAGCGGAAUGUUUGGCCUAUUACAGUUUAUAGUAAAAAUGAAUCAGAGGACUCCUAUCUGCAUACGUAUCGAAAUGGAAAAUCGAGUCUUCUAAUCACAAACGGAGGGAAAAAUUUUAGGAUAUUUUGGUGGGUUAAAGGUAUUCAGAUCAAGUUAAAGGAAAAGAUUUUAACAUCAAAUAUAAUCUUGUUAUUUUAGGAAACGAAGAUUGAAUAAGAUUUGAAGGCUUGAGGGUUUACUGAAUUAAAAGAUUUAGGUUCCCUAAUUGCCUCAAGCUCGCCCUGUGAAUAUGGCUUGCCUAGCCAGAUCGGAGCGAUUAAGUUGGAGCCACGUGCUCCCCAUGCGCGCAUGGGCACACUUUUAACAACACUGCCACAAAUCAUGCAUGGAAUCUUGCUGGUUAUGUAGGAAUGGUGCUCAAGGAUCUAGAGAUACCGCUAUGACGACAAACAAACAUUUGCUACCAUUUAAACCACUUGAAACCCAUUCCCAGAUAUAGCAGAGGUCGUGAUAGGUUGCCAGAUAACUUCUUUGUCACAAAUUACACGACAACAUAAUAGGAAGGAGAGGUCGUGAGGGAGAGGAGGUAUAUUUUAGCAAAAUCCAUUAUUGUUAGGGUUGCGGGGCACAUCGGGGCUAUUAGCCAAAAACCCGGACUAUGGGCACAAGUGGAUGGAUGCAGUCCAAAAAAUUACCCCAAAAAUCGGGGUGCAGUCCAAAAAUCUAUCGAUUUUUAACAUAUAAAUAAAUUAAUGAGUAAAAUAAAUGUCAUUUAUUGUUAUUUAAGACACCCCGCGGGAAUUUGAAGUAGAUGUCAUUUAAUGCCAUUGAAGUAGAUGUCGCUGUUACCCCACCAAAAACCCUAGUCGACCACCGGUGCCCCAGCUUGCCCUGGUUGCCCCCGCCUAUCCUACCUCUUGGACCGCAUCCCUGGAUUUUGAUUGGCCCAACCACCUUUUAGUAUGUCGGUCCUAGAUCUGUGCCCGCCUGGGCAGUGUUGUCAAAAUGGCGCUCAGGUCGCCCGGGUCGAGACCGUCACCGCCCCAACAUGGGUGGGUUGAUCGAGGUACGGGGUCGCCGCCGGGUCGUCUGGGUCGAGAUACAGAUUUUAAUUCUAAUUCGGCCUCUACAAGCAGCUUGUACCACUUUAUCUACCUAUAGGCUAUAUGUAUUGAAACUUUAUUUGAUAUAUUGUAAACAUUAGAGUAAUA